rnacentral:rRNA from 1 species
GGGCACCACCAGGGGGUGCAGCUGCGGCUUAUUUGACUCAACACGGGAAAUCUCACCAGGCCCGGACACCGGAAGGAUUGACAGAUUAACAGCUCUUUCUUGAUUCGGUGGGUGGUGGUGCAUGGCCGUUCUUAGUUGGUGGAGCGAUUUGUCUGGUUAAUUCCGGUAACGAACGAGACUCUAGCCUGCUAAAUAGGCGUCGCCAUUUAGGUGUGCUCGACUUCGGUCGUGCAACUCACUGGCGACGUAUUAAAAUUCUUCUUAGAGGGACCGGCGGCUUCGAGCCGCACGAGAUUGAGCAAUAACAGGUCUGUGAUGCCCUUAGAUGUCCUGGGCCGCACGCGCGCUACAUGCAAGGAAUCA